rnacentral:rRNA from 1 species
GUAGUCCACGCCCUAAACGAUGUCUACUAGUUGUCGGGUCUUAAUUGACUUGGUAACGCAGCUAACGCGUGAAGUAGACCGCCUGGGGAGUACGGUCGCAAGAUUAAAACUCAAAGGAAUUGACGGGGACCCGCACAAGCGGUGGAUGAUGUGGAUUAAUUCGAUGCAACGCGAAAAACCUUACCUACCCUUGACAUGGCAGAAAUCCCGGAGAGAUUUGGGAGUGCUCGAAAGAGAAUCUGCACACAGGUGCUGCAUGGCUGUCGUCAGCUCGUGUCGUGAGAUGUUGGGUUAAGUCCCGCAACGAGCGCAACCCUUGUCAUUAGUUGCUACGAAAGGGCACUCUAAUGAGACUGCCGGUGACAAACCGGAGGAAGGUGGGGAUGACGUCAAGUCCUCAUGGCCCUUAUGGGUAGGGCUUCACACGUCAUACAAUGGUACAUACAGAGCGCCGCCAACCCGCGAGGGGGAGCUAAUCGCAGAAAGUGUAUCGUAGUCCGGAUUGUAGUCUGCAACUCGACUGCAUGAAGUUGGAAUCGCUAGUAAUCGCGGAUCAGCAUGUCGCGGUGAAUACGUUCCCGGGUCUUGUACACACCGCCCGUCACACCAUGGGAGCGGGUUCUGCCAGAAGUAGUUAGCCUAACCGCAAGGAGGGCGAUUACCACGGCAGGGUUCGUGACUGGGGUG